rnacentral:rRNA from 1 species
UACGGAGGGUGCAAGCGUUAUCCGGAUUCACUGGGUUUAAAGGGUGCGUAGGUGGGCAGGUAAGUCAGUGGUGAAAUCUCCGGGCUUAACCCGGAAACUGCCGUUGAUACUAUCUGUCUUGAAUAUAGUGGAGGUGAGCGGAAUAUGUCAUGUAGCGGUGAAAUGCUUAGAUAUGACAUAGAACAUCGAUUGCGAAGGCAGCUCGCUACGCUAUUAUUGACACUGAGGCACGAAAGCGUGGGGAGCAAACAGG